rnacentral:sRNA from 1 species
GACCGCUGUGCCAUAAGCGCAGCCAAGGCCACACGGACAGCCGGGUCGAAUGCCGA